rnacentral:rRNA from 1 species
AUUGAACGCUGGCGGCAUGCCUUACACAUGCAAGUCGAACGGCAGCACGGGAGCAAUCCUGGUGGCGAGUGGCGAACGGGUGAGUAAAGCAUCGGAACGUGCCCAGUCGUGGGGGAUAACGUAGCGAAAGCUACGCUAAUACCGCAUACGAUCUGUGGAUGAAAGCGGGGGACCGUAAGGCCUCGCGCGAUUGGAGCGGCCGAUGUCAGAUUAGGUAGUUGGUGAGGUAAAGGCUCACCAAGCCGACGAUCUGUAGCUGGUCUGAGAGGAAGACCAGCCACACUGGGACUGAGACACGGCCCAGACUCCUACGGGAGGCAGCAGUGGGGAAUUUUGGACAAUGGGCGCAAGCCUGAUCCAGCAAUGCCGCGUGCAGGAUGAAGGCCUUCGGGUUGUAAGCUGCUUUUGUACGGAGCGAAACGGCUUCCACUAAUACUGGGGGCUAAUGACGGUACCGUAAGAAUAAGCACCGGCUAACUACGUGCCAGCAGCCGCGGUAACAC